rnacentral:rRNA from 1 species
GAUGAACGCUGGCGGCGUGCCUAAUACAUGCAAGUCGAGCGAGCGGCGGACGGGUGAGUGACACGUGCUAACCUACCUAUAAAACUGGGAUAACUUCGGGAAACCGGAGCUAAUUCCGGAUCCUUAUAGAUGAAUCCGCGCUGGAUUAGCUAGUUGGUAAGGUAACGGCUUACCAAGGCAACGAUGCGUAGCUGGCCUGAGAGGAGGAUCAGCCACACUGGAACUGAGACACGGCCCAGACUCCUACGGGAGGCAGCAGUGGGGAAUAUUGCACAAUGGGGGAAAGCCUGAUGCAGCCAUGCCGCGUGUGUGAAGAAGGCCUUCGGGUUGUAAAGCACUUUUAGCGAGGAGGCGUUACUCGCAGAAGAAGCACCGGCUAACUCCGUGCCAGCAGCCGCGGUAAUUC